AAAGUGACUAAUCUCGUUGGUUGAGGCAAUAUUGGUCAAAUUAACUGUGACAUUGGUAACUAUUAAACAAACAAAUUGGUUAUCUAACAACUAAUAUCAUUGGUUAAGAACAAAUUGGUUGAUUUAACAAAGAUAUUGGUUAACUUUAAUAACAGAUUGGUUGAAAAAUGACUAAUAUCAUUGGUUAAGCAAAUGUUAACUAAGAGAUUGGUAACUGACGCAGGUCUGACGCUCAACGUCAAGUACGUAACUCUGCUUCUCAAUUUUCUGACAAAGCCGCCAUCUUGGUGCUGCAGGAAAGCCGUUUGAGAUAUUGGUGGAAUUCAAACACUUUGUGAGAUGACAGAAUAUUGCUGAAGGAUCCUACAUGGAAGCUGGCUGAUUACACGGAGUGAUUCCUCUGGUGUGGUGUACCUCAGAGAAAUAAACACUGUUGCAAGAGCUGAGAAGAUGGCCAAGAUAUCCUUAUUGCUGGAUGGUAGCUCUGGUCGUAGUGGACCAUAUCUGCAAAUGCUUCUGAACAUUGACAGAAUUUCUAAAGAUGACUGAGAAUAUUACUGAAGGAUCCUACAUGGAAGCUGUCUGAUUACACUGAGUGAUUCCUCUGGUGUGGUGUACCUCAGAGAAAAUAAACACUGUUGCAAGAGGUGAGAAGAUAUCCUUAUUGCUGGAUGGUUGCUCUCUGGUCGUACUUGAGCCCCCUGGACCAUGUCUGCAAAUGCUUCUGAACAUUGACAGAAUUUCUAAAGGUUAGCAACCAUUCACAAAUGUACACCACAUGUAUGUGUGUUUCAAAUGUCUUAACAGUUUGAACGACACACUGUUAAUCAGAGAUGCAUCCUGUUCAUCUUUUGUGUUAUUUUGAGAGGAUAGGUCGCCAGCGACCCUAUUCACUUGCUGAAAAUGCUUAAACACAUAAAACAACAUUGCUAUGACAUUACAUAGAGCCAUAACGCUGCACUACAGGGUUAAGGAUGGCAGCUGCCUGGUUACAGUACAUUGAUCCCCUUUGUAGCACCAUGUCUAAAAAUACUGGAAAAAAAACAGUUUCUAAAUGUACCGGUAAGCAAAUUUUAAUAAAUCUGCACCAAAUGUGUGUUUCAAAUGUCUACUAUCUAACAGUCUGAAUAACACACUCGUACACAGUGGUGGACAAAGUAAAAGUACUUUUGUGGUGUAAUUACAACAGUAGCACAUGAUAUUACAUAGCUGUUACACCGUUUGCUCCAGUAUACCUACCUAUUGAGAUAGACUGUGUUAUUACUGAAAAACAAUAAAAACCUAACAAGAACCCACCACAAACUCAAUCCAACCUGUGCAGAAUCAGCUCAUCGUAAGACAAGUACAUUGGUCUACUUUUUACUCAGAUAAGUUACCUGUGUUGGAAAGAAACUGUUUAAAAAAAAAAAAAAAAAACUUUUACUUUUACUUUGUCCACCACUGCUCAUACAUGACAUUACCAAUUGUUGUGUGCUCAGAGCGGCAGUUUACAAACGCACCCUUGGUGCCUUCUGCUGUUAGGCCUAUGACACUGAGCCCACCGUUUCAUUGAUUGGAGU